GAAAAAUUAGCGGAUGACUUGUGGCUGGGGGUGAAAGGCCAAUCAAACCGGGAGAUAGCUGGUUCUCCCCGAAAGCUAUUUAGGUAGCGCCUCGUGAAUUCAUCUCCGGGGGUAGAGCACUGUUUCGGCAAGGGGGUCAUCCCGACUUACCAACCCGAUGCAAACUGCGAAUACCGGAGAAUGUUAUCACGGGAGACACACGGCGGGUGCUAACGUCCGUCGUGAAGAGGGAAACAACCCAGACCGCCAGCUAAGGUCCCAAAGUCAUGGUUAAGUGGGAAACGAUGUGGGAAGGCCCAGACAGCCAGGAUGUUGGCUUAGAAGCAGCCAUCAUUUAAAGAAAGCGUAAUAGCUCACUGGUCGAGUCGGCCUGCGCGGAAGAUGUAACGGGGCUAAACCAUGCACCGAAGCUGCGGCAGCGACGCUGAUGCGUUGUUGGGUAGGGGAGCGUUCUGUAAGCCUGUGAAGGUGUGCUGUGAGGCAUGCUGGAGGUAUCAGAAGUGCGAAUGCUGACAUAAGUAACGAUAAAGCGGGUGAAAAGCCCGCUCGCCGGAAGACCAAGGGUUCCUGUCCAACGUUAAUCGGGGCAGGGUGAGUCGACCCCUAAGGCGAGGCCGAAAGGCGUAGUCGAUGGGAAACAGGUUAAUAUUCCUGUACUUGGUGUUACUGCGAAGGGGGGACGGAGAAGGCUAUGUUGGCCGGGCGACGGUUGUCCCGGUUUAAGCGUGUAGGCUGGUUUUCCAGGCAAAUCCGGAAAAUCAAGGCUGAGGCGUGAUGACGAGGCACUACGGUGCUGAAGCAACAAAUGCCCUGCUUCCAGGAAAAGCCUCUAAGCAUCAGGUAACAUCAAAUCGUACCCCAAACCGACACAGGUGGUCAGGUAGAGAAUACCAAGGCGCUUGAGAGAACUCGGGUGAAGGAACUAGGCAAAAUGGUGCCGUAACUUCGGGAGAAGGCACGCUGAUAUGUAGGUGAAGUCCCUCGCGGAUGGAGCUGAAAUCAGUCGAAGAUACCAGCUGGCUGCAACUGUUUAUUAAAAACACAGCACUGUGCAAACACGAAAGUGGACGUAUACGGUGUGACGCCUGCCCGGUGCCGGAAGGUUAAUUGAUGGGGUCAGCGCAAGCGAAGCUCUUGAUCGAAGCCCCGGUAAACGGCGGCCGUAACUAUAACGGUCCUAAGGUAGCGAAAUUCCUUGUCGGGUAAGUUCCGACCUGCACGAAUGGCGUAAUGAUGGCCAGGCUGUCUCCACCCGAGACUCAGUGAAAUUGAACUCGCUGUGAAGAUGCAGUGUACCCGCGGCAAGACGGAAAGACCCCGUGAACCUUUACUAUAGCUUGACACUGAACAUUGAGCCUUGAUGUGUAGGAUAGGUGGGAGGCUUUGAAGUGUGGACGCCAGUCUGCAUGGAGCCGGCCUUGAAAUACCACCCUUUAAUGUUUGAUGUUCUAACGUUGACCCGU
rnacentral:rRNA from 1 species